rnacentral:snRNA from 1 species
GGAUGUCAGGGCGAUCUGGCUGCAACAUCUGUCACCCCAUUGAUUGCCAGGGCUGAUACAGCUGAUCUGGCUGGCUAGGCGGGUAUCCCCUUCCUCCCUCACUGCUCCAUGUGCGUCCCCCUGAAGCUGCAUGCAUGGUGGAAGAGGACGACCAUCCCUGAUAGAAAAGGAUCAUUCUUCGAUCAAGGGUAUACGAGUAGCUGAGCUCCCCUGCUAGAACCUCCAAACAAGCUCUCAAGAAGCCAACUGCUAUUUCCCAAUUUAAAUUGCUAGAGCAAUUUUAAAUAUCCAGAAUGGUGAAAGAAGCUGUAACAGUUUAAACUAAUAU